UACGUAGGGCGCAAGCGUUGUCCGGAAUUAUUGGGCGUAAAGAGCGUGUAGGCGGCCCGAUUAGUCCGCUGUGAAAGUCCAGGGCUCAACCCUGGAAUGCCGGUGGAUACUGUCGGGCUAGAGUCCGGAAGGGGCGAGUGGAAUUCCUGGUGUAGCGGUGAAAUGCGCAGAUAUCAGGAGGAACACCGGUGGCGAAGGCGGGUCUCUGGGCCGAAACUGACGCUGAGGAGCGAAAGCGUGGGGAGCAAACAGG
rnacentral:rRNA from 1 species